GAUGAAGAACGUAGCGAAAUGCGAUAAGUAAUGUGAAUUGCAGAAUUCAGUGAAUCAUCGAAUCUUUGAACGCACAUUGCGCCCGCCAGUAUUCUGGCGGGCAUGCCUGUUCGAGCGUCAUUUCAACCAUCAAGCCCCCGGCUUGUGUUGGGGACCUGCGGCUGCCCGCAGGCCCUGAAAACCAGUGGCGGGCUCGCUGUCACACCGAGCGUAGUAGCAACAUCUCGCUCAGGGCGUGCUGCGGGUUCCGGCCGUUAAAAGCCUUUUACACCCAAGGUUGACCUCGGAUCAGGUAGGAAGACCCGCUGAACUUAAGCAUAUCAAUAAGCGGAGGA
rnacentral:misc_RNA from 1 species